CCUGCGGAGGAUCAUUAGUGAAUAUAGGACGUCCAACUUAACUUGGAGUCCGAACUCUCACUUUCUAACCCUGUGCACUUGUUUGGGAUAGUAACUCUCGCAAGAGAGCGAACUCCUAUUCACUUAUAAACACAAAGUCUAUGAAUGUAUUAAAUUUUAUAACAAAAUAAAACUUUCAACAACGGAUCUCUUGGCUCUCGCAUCGAUGAAGAACGCAGCGAAAUGCGAUAAGUAAUGUGAAUUGCAGAAUUCAGUGAAUCAUCGAAUCUUUGAACGCACCUUGCGCUCCAUGGUAUUCCGUGGAGCAUGCCUGUUUGAGUGUCAUGAAUACUCCAACCCUCCUCUUUCUUAAUGAUUGAAGAGGUGUUUGGUUUCUGAGCGCUGCUGGCCUUUACGGUCUAGCUCGUUCGUAAUGCAUUAGCAUCCGCAAUCGAACUUCGGAUUGACUUGGCGUAAUAGACUAUUCGCUGAGGAAUUCUAGUCUUCGGACUAGAGCCGGGUUGGGUUAAAGGAAGCUUCUAAUCAGAAUGUCUACAUUUUAAGAUUAGAUCUCAAAUCAGGUAGGACUACCCGCUGAACUUAAGCAUAUCAAUAAGCGGAGGAA
rnacentral:rRNA from 1 species